CAUAAGGAAACAACAUUAUGAAAUAUAGUGUGGCAAGAGGGUAUCCUUGGCCCGCCAGAGACAAGAUGCACCCCUGAGAAAUUAUGAGAAAACCUCUCAACAGGGGAUUGAUUCCAAGACUACGAAGAAACUAUAACCCAUGGAUCCUCAAGUCUCAUAAGCUGGCAGUGUAUGGGCACAAAAUGUGCACACAUCUUCCAGUGUACCUCCUUCUUGAAAGGGAGAGAGAAACUGGCAUUGCAUGCCUGACUUGGGUUCCUGGUUGCGCUGCAUGGCAUCUGGGGGUGUGUCCUUUCUUCCUGUCCAGAUUCACAAACGACAGGGUCUUUCCCAUAACCUGAAGUCCCAGGUGCUUGGAAAUAUUGCCAAAUACUUUUUCCAGUUUUUGUUUUUUUAAAGUUGUAAUUGUAUCUACUAAUUUCAGAUUAGGGCAUGUACUCACAUAAUUUGAAAUUUCAGAAAAGCCAGAGCAUAAAAUGAAGUUUGUUCCCCCCAUCUUUGUGAUUAGUUCCCUUCCCCAGAUCUGCUAGUUUCUAGGAUGUCUUCUGAGUUAGAGAUUUUACACACACUUAAAAUAACACGUUCUAAGUAAAAGAAGAAAAAAAAAGCUCUUCAAGGUAAGGUGAUUGCUGUCAGAACCUGAUCACCUGAGUUUGAUCACUGAGGCCCACUUGGUGAAUGGUGACAAUCAACUAUAAAUUGUCCUCUGACCACAUGUGCACUGUGACACAUGGUCACCCACAAAAUAAACAAAUGCA